rnacentral:piRNA from 1 species
ACUUAAAUGUGGACGUGCUUGCU